rnacentral:rRNA from 1 species
ACAGUCUCAGUUCGGAUUGUAGUCUGCAACUCGACUACAUGAAGCUGGAAUCGCUAGUAAUCGCAAAUCAGAAUGUUGCGGUGAAUACGUUCCCGGGUCUUGUACACACCGCCCGUCACACCAUGGGAGUUGGAAGCACCCGAAGUCUGUGAGCUAACUUUUAGAGGCAGCAGUCGAAGGUAGAAUCAAUGAUUGGGGUGAAGUCGUAACAAGGUAUC